rnacentral:sRNA from 1 species
AAAGAUUUGUCCCGCCAUAUUGUGAAAGACGCAAAUGAGAUCCAAGCGCUGAUAGAUGCAGGCAAUGAACAAAGAAUGACUGCCUCCACACACAUACACAGACACAGCAGCAGAAGCCAUGCCAUAGUGACCAUUAUCUUGACCCAGUCCAAGAGUGAGGACAAUCUACCCUGUGAGUUGGUCAGUAAAGUACAUCUUGUGGAUUUGGCGGGCAGGUGAGUGACAGUAGCUCUGGAAAGACCGGAACUGGGAAAUUUUAUUUAUACAAAAUG